GCACUCCACAGAGAGAACUAUAUUAUGAGGAUUACAAAAAUUAUCCAACAAAUAAGCCAUAAUUUUGACUUUUUAAUUUAAUAACUGAGAGAGAGUUCGUGAUAAAAUUCUAAUAGUAUUUUACUCACUAUAUAUCUUCAUUUUGGUAAAGUAGUCCCAUACAUAUACAUUCACAGUAUUUUCAGCAAUUACAGUUAUUCUUUCCUAGAUUAGUAGUCGUCUUAAGCAUUAAGUUUCUGUUGUCUGAGUUAAGUUUCUGUUAGACGCGCCUUUCC
rnacentral:lncRNA from 1 species